rnacentral:misc_RNA from 1 species
GAUGAAGAACGCAGCGAAAUGCGAUAAGUAAUGUGAAUUGCAGAAUUCAGUGAAUCAUCGAAUCUUUGAACGCACAUUGCGCCCGCCAGUAUUCUGGCGGGCAUGCCUGUUCGAGCGUCAUUUCAACCAUCAAGCCCCAGGCUUGUGUUGGGGACCUGCGGCUGCCGCAGGCCCUGAAAACCAGUGGCGGGCUCGCUGUCACACCGGGCGAAGUAGAUUUUAUCUCGCUCAGGGCGUGCUGCGGGUUCCGGCCGUUAAAAAGCCUUUUUUACCCAAGGUUGACCUCGGAUCAGGUAGGAAGACCCGCUGAACUUAAGCAUAUCAAUAAGCGGAGGA